rnacentral:ncRNA from 2 species
CUCUUAUCGAGAGUGGCGGAGGGACUGGCCCUACGAAGCCCGGCAACCGGCAUAUUAUGCAUCGGUGCUAAUUCCAGCGAUAUUUUGAUAUCGACAGAUGAGAU